UUAUAGCGUUGCAAAAUGUCUCGUUCUUUGGUGCCUUAUCUAAUUGCACUACUGGUAAUUUCAAUGAUAUUAAGUGCCAAUGCGUCUACUAAAUGCAAAAACGUCGCUUGUACUACAGAUACUGAAUGUAAAAAGUGUAAGAAAAAUUAUGAAUGUACUUUAGAUUGGUGGAAAUUGAAAUCUAAAUGCGCUCGUGCUGAACCAUCGAUUCUUAUCCCACGGCGGAUUUCUUAUAUUUA